AACUAUUGUGGAAUUAUUUGAUAAUUCUACACAUCAUAAUUCAAUUGACUGAAAUGUUUUAUUUUGCAUUUUGACCCUAACAUUUUUUUUUGUCCUACCUGAGCCCCAGAGCAGUAGCAGGAGCAACAUCACCAGCAGUUGAUCCAUGUCCAGGUUUCUGCCACAACUUCCUGGAGAGGAACAAAAUCUAUAGAGAUGAGCACUAUAACAACACCACAGAUGUACCUGGAAGCGGUACGGCCCGUACGGAGAAUCCUGCGGAGGUCGCCCAGUGUUGAACUCUGUGUUGCAGCUGAAGAAGAUUCCUUCCAGCUUACCGCUGAUGGGUGAGCCGUGGCUGCCGCUGUUGUCCUUCACUGACGGCAGCAUGCGACAGCACUGAGCAUCUCUGGAGCGCUGAUCUUGAAGGAGUCGCAUGUGACGUUGCUGAUCAGGAUCUGCUGAGGAACCGGCAGCUCGUCCCCGUCCCCGAUGCCGCUGUCCGCAGACUCUGACUCUGGAAGAACAAAUAUGUAGGUUUUUGAGAGCAGCU